CGGGGCUUCCGCUACGGGACUCAACGGACGUACCGAGGGAACGCCCACGACUGGUCCUGCUCCUCAGGCCGGACGCGCCUCGCUUCGGCUCGGCCAAGCCCAAGGUUCCCACUGGCCCGGACCUUUGGUCCUGCCUUGCAACGGCUUCUGGAGGAAAGAUGCCAAGUUCCGAGCACCCCUAUGGAGAAACUGCUUCCUAUGGUAGCUAAAUAAAUAAGCAGAGAUGGAGUCUCCACCUUCAUCCCACUCCCAGCUGACCUCUUGAUUGCAACUUCAUGAGAGGUCCUGAAUGAGAACCAUCCAGGCUUGAACAACAUUAUCAACCAACUGGAUUGGACAUUUGUAGAAAACUGUACUCAAAAAACAAAAAUAUGUGAAUAUAUUCUUUUCAAAAGCACAUAGGGUAGAUUAUAAGAGGAACCACAAAGCAAGACUCAACUUUGAAGGAUGAAAUCAUAUAAAAUAUGUUCUCUGAUCAUAUCUGAAUUAAAAUGGAGAUCCACAACAGAAACAAACGUCAGAAAACCCCCAAAUUAUAAAUUAAACAACAUAUUUCUAAGUAAUCUAUGAAUCAAGGAACAAAUGACAAGAGAAGCUAAAAAUAUUGUAAACAAAAUUAAAGCAAAAGUACAACAUAAGAAAAUAUGUGGGACAUAGCUACAGCAAUGCAUGGAGGGGGAGCUACAGCUGUAGAUGCCUAUGUUUGUGACAGAAGAAAGGUCUCAAAUCAAAAACCGAGUCUCCCACUUCAAGAAAAUUGAAAAAGAACAAAGAAAACUAAGUCCACCAACAUAUAAAGGAUCAAAGGCCAUGACAAACUGGAAUUUGUCCCAGGAAUGCAAGGUUGGUUUAACAUCCAAAAGUAAAUCAAUGUAUUAGUGAAAUACAGGACACACCUUUGUAUAUAGUUCUUUCAGUGGCACUUUCCAUGCUUAUGAAGACUCUAAAAAAGGUGAAAUUAGUGAAAGAAAGUUGAAUCCUUGGAGUAUGGACUGGACUUGGCCACUCAAUUCUGUUAAACGGAAUAAAGCAGAAAUCAUGAUGUGUGACUUUGGAGGUGAGGUUGUGAAAGGCACUGUGGCUUCUCUUCUUGCUGUCUUAGGCCACUUGCUUUGGGGAGAGCCAAUGACCCAUGAAGAAGCCCACAUGGAAAGCAACUGCAGCCUCCUGCCAGUAGCUUUGUAAGUGGGCUAUCUUGCAAGUAGAUCCUCCAGCCCUGGUUAAGCUUUCAGGUGAUGGAAAUAUAGUUGCAAAUGUCUGUAUUCCUAUGUUCCUUUCUAGUUGGACUGUUCCUGUCAUUUGAAGAUUGUGAAAAGAUGAGAUUAGUACAGACAAAGCCCUCAGUGGUGACCUCUAUAAUCCUUCACGCUUUGCAUGCACAUUAAGGGCAAGCAAAAUGCAGAUCAAGGAUGGAGCUGAAAGUAGGGAGUUCUGUGAAACUGUUGUGGGCAAGAUGAAACUUUCAGGGUGACCCAAAAGGAGGAACAUUGCCCAGGGUUGGGAACUGCUGGUCUUGUACUACAGAGCUUCCCUAUCCCUGGCCCAUGAGUGGGUAAUGGGCCACACAUUAUUGUCAUUGUCACACGUCAUGAUGCAGAGAAGUUGGGGUCAUGCUUCACUGUACUGGUCUUUCCUGCCCCACCUCACUAGAAUCUGCCCUGAGUGCUUGGAGCAGUCUACCAACAGACCCUUCCAAGGCCUUCUUCAUUUCUCUCACUGUUUCUCAUCUCUCGCUUAUCUUGGUGAUAUUACUAAGUUGCUGUAUCAACCUUCUCUAAGUCCAUUCUGGAGAUUCUCACUUUCAAAUUUGUUUUCAUUUUGCAGUGCCAGGGAUUGCAUCCAGGGCCUCAGCCAUGGCAGGCAAGUAAGUGGUCUGCCACUGAGCUACACUCCUAGCUAGUACUAGUAAUCCCACAUUCAUAAUUAUUUUGAUAU
ensembl:lncRNA